rnacentral:rRNA from 1 species
CACGUAGGGCGCAAGCGUUGUCCGGAAUUAUUGGGCGUAAAGAGCUCGUAGGCGGACUGUCACGUCUGCUGUGAAAAGCUGGGGCUUAACCCUGGCCUUGCAGUGGAUACGGGCAGACUAGAGGUAGGUAGGGGAGAGUGGAAUUCCUGGUGUAGCGGUGAAAUGCGCAGAUAUCGGGAAGAACACCCGUGGCGAAGGCGGCUCUCUGGGACGGUACUGACGCUGAGACGCGAAAGCGUGGGGAGCGAACAGG